CCUACGGGAGGCAGCAGUAGGGAAUAUUGGGCAAUGGGCGAAAGCCUGACCCAGCAACGCCGCGUGAGUGAUGAAGGCUUUCGAGUCGUAAAACUCUGUCUUUGGGGACGAAUAAUGACGGUACCCAAGGAGGAAGCCCCGGCUAACUACGUGCCAGCAGCCGCGGUAAU
rnacentral:rRNA from 1 species